ACCGUGUUUCCUGAACAAUUCUCCUUCGACUUACAAUGCGCAACUGUGCACCUGUGCCCUUUCUGCCUGUCACAUCGCUCUGACAAGUCGCAGGACCCCUCGAGGGGUGGGCAGCGCUCUCAGAGCGAGGUCUGCGCGCCUUACUACCAUCAGGUUAACCGAGCAGCGAAUUCCAAGGAGCGCCCCCUCCCCGCGCGCGCGCGCUCCGCGUCCCUGGAACUGCAGCCUCAGUGCAGCGCCAACUUCUCCUGGCAGAAAGUAAGGGCGAGGGUGGUGGAGGUGGCGCGAAAAGGAGGCGGUGGUGCACGCGCAGCCCGCCUCGCGCCCCCGGCCCUGGGCGCGUCGGGAGAAGGAGACGCGCUGCUGGGGCUUGUUCGAUUCCGCUCUGGCCGGAGAGAGGUCUCCGAGAGGGCGCCGCGCGCGCCUGAGGGGAACCUUCCGACACUUUUGCGCUCUUCUGCCGCCUCCGCCCCGUCCUCGGGUAGGUUGGGAAGUUUGCAGGGCGGGGCUCGGCGCGCCGAGGAGGAAGAGAGAGCCGGGGAAUUCUGUCCCGCCCGGUGCCAUUCCACAGUGAGCCGCGGGCGCGCCAGCAAGUGCCAAAUGAAUGGGACGCGGGUGGUGCUGUGGGUUAAACCACAGAGCCUAGGACUUGCUGAUCAGAAGGUCGUGGUUCGAAUCCCCGCAAUGAGGGGUGAGCUCCCGUUGCUCGGUCCCUGCUCCUGCCAACCUAGCAGUUCGGAAGCACAAAGUGCAAGUAGAUAAAUAGGUACCGCUCUGGCGGGAAGGUAAACGGCAUUUCCGUGCUCUGUUCUGGUUCACCAGAAGUGGCUUAAUCAUGCUGGCCACAUGACCCGGAAGCUGUACUCCGGCUCCCUCGGCCAAUAAAGCGAGAUGAGCGCCGCAACCCCAGAGUCAGCCAUGACUGGACCUAAUGGUCAGGGGUCCCUUUACCUUUUUUAGUGCCAAAUGAAGAGCAAGGUAGCAGUGAUUGGGCACCAUUAACCAAUAUGUUUCUAAUUUCUGAUGAACUAUAAUGAGCCGAGAAAUUUGGGCUUUUCAUUAUGCACAAAUGCCCCUUUAAAGUCUAUCAUAUAUUGCAUUGCAAUAAAGUUGUGUGUCAAAAUGGUAUGAGGGUUCUUUGAAGCAACUGCAUGUCAGUGACAUCUCAUAGAUCAUUUGCCUCCAGUGAGAGCUAUGAAGAUGUCUUCUGCUGGACUCUUUCCAUGUGGGUGUUUUAUAGGGAAACCCUACCCCAAUACUGGCUAUAAAACAGAUCCACUUUCUAUGGAUUUCUUAAGGUUUAUACUGGUCUUUUUACCUGGUGUAGCUGUUUUACACUGGUUUAAACAGAGUUGCUUAUAAGGCCAAAUCUGGCUUCUUAGCCUGUUGGAAGUCUAUUGCUUCCAUAUUGUUUGUCUCAACAUACAACCAGGUACAAUUUCCAUCCCUCUUUCUUCCACAAGUACCUGCAAGAGCACUAUUCCUGGGAUUAGGAACUUCAGGUACGGAGUCACAUGGGGCUCUCCAGGCCUCUUUAUCUAGCACUUGAGAGUCUUGCCAGGCCAUGCCCCAUCUCCCCAGGCUGCAUCCGUCACCAGCCCUGCUUUGCAGCCUCCUUAAGUAUUUUUACUUGGUUGGAAUGCAUCCUUGAACUCUGUUAAUGCUUCGUGCUUGCCUAGAUGAAAGAUAGAGAGGAGCAUGUGUAGAAACUAGCCUAUUGUAUGAAUGUAAAAUGCCCAUAUGUUGCUCUGCCCAUUUUUGUCUCCUUGUCUGGAAUGUUCUGGUUAUACUUGGGCAUGCUACUCUUCGUUCAGUAUUUUCUGCAUGCUGGUUGAGUUGCUUUCAAUUAUUGUUGCUGCAGGCAUGAAAUGAAGUUGCCAGGUUGGUUGCUGGCCAGCUCCUUCUGAGCAGAGUAAAGAUUUUCAGUGUGGGAUAUAAAGGAAUAGGAAUAAAUAAGAUGAAGUAACUUGUUUUAGGAUGCUGUUGUUCUCAGCCCGAAAUGUUUCCAAAAUCAGGAACCUUCCAAUACAGUGGUACCUCGGUUUACGAACUUAAUCUGUUCCAGAAGUCCAUUCUUAAACUAAAACCAUUCUUAAACCAAGGCGUGCUUUCCCUAAUGAGGCCUCCCAAUGCCAGUGCCAUUCCACCGCUUGGAUUCCAUUCUUAGACCAAGGUAAAGUUCUCUCUUUUUAUAUAUAUAAAGGUUUUUAUUAAUUUUCAAUACAAUAUAUAUAUAUAUAAUACCAUAUCUAAAGUUUAUCACAAAUUAUAUAUUAUGGACUUCCUUCAGCUUAUCUGCCAAUCGUCCGUAAUUAAAUUUUAGUUACGCAUUUCCUAAAUUUAAUACUGCCUUUUUAUAUACCUUCCCAAUCUUAUUUUCUUUUUUACAAUACUCCUCAACCUUUCACAGAGCUUCUUGAAAUCCCACAAAUGUUGUUUGUUCAUCACAUAUAUUUUUCAGAUACUCUACAAAUUUUCCCCAUCCUCGAUGAACUUAUGGUCUCAUUGAUAUCUAAUGUUCCCAGUUAAAUUGUCCAGUUCUGCAUAGUCCAUCAUUUUCAUUCUCCAUUCUUCCAGGGUCGGUAAUUCCUCCUGUUUCCAUCUUUGGGCCAUUAAUGUUCUCGCCGCUGUAACUGCAUAUUGGAAAAUUUUACAGUCCUUUCUAUUUAUUUCAUUUCCUACUAUUCCUAACAGAAGAGCUUCUGGUUUCUUUACAAAUGUAUAUUUCAGCAUCUUUUUCAGUUCAUUAUAUAUUGUCUCCCAGAAACCCUUCACCUUCUUAUAUUCCCACCAUAGACCGAGGUAAAGUUCUCAAACCGGGACACUAUUUCCAGUUUUGCAGAGUUUGUAAACUGAAUCGGUCUUAAACCGGACUGUUCUUAAACUGAGGUACCACUGUACUCUGGAUUUAUUUAUUUUUUUAAAAUUUCUGUUGCUUUCUGAUUCUUGUGCUUUUCAUUAAAAAAACACCCUGUUUUUCUAAAGAGUAUCUCUCUGAUAACAGAACAGUAACAUCUUGCUCAUAUCUCUCAACUUCAUAGAGACAUACUUCACUGCAGAGCUCUUGCAUUCAAGUAAGUUGGCAUAAACUAAAUCUAUCACAUGAGGUGAAUUCCCAGGUGAUAGAAUUGAGGUCUGUAGAACUUUUGGGACUUGUGUGUGAAAGAGACUAUUCCUUAGCAAUAUGCUAAUGGCACAAACUUAAGAACUCUUACAGAGAAUUCUAAUAGAAAAAGUUACCUCCUGCUGUGUCUGACACAGAAGGCAAUGAUCUAUCUUCGUGUCAUAGUCACGGUUUUAAUGAAGCUUAUGAGCGCAGGCUGUAGAUCACAAAUCAUUGUAUUAACUGCACUAAUUAAUCAGGCUGGCAUUUUUCAAAUCUUAUGCAGAAUAAUAACUGUGCAAAUAGUCUGAGCCUGAAGUGUGUGAGUCUUAAUUAAAACUCUGCCUAAACAAAAUAAAAUUGUGUGACUGCCAAAAUUCUUAAAGUAGAAUUUGAGGCAGCAACCACAGGUGAGCCCCACCAGCCAGCAUGCAACCAGUGUUUUGGUUUUUAAAAAAAGAACUAAUGCUCCCUGCCCCCGCCCCCCAUGCCAUUUCUCCUUUCUCUUUUCUUUUGCUGCUUUUUGUGACAAACCACUUCCUGGAACAUCCUACCUUUAAAUAUAAACCCAAAACCUUCAGUUAGCAAGAAUGUUGACUGGGGCAGCCAUCAGAUCAUGCCAUAUUGAUUGUGAAAGAUUUCCGUUGGCCACCUGUUCAAUUCUGUGCUGCAUUUCAGAUGACACUGUUGUGCUAUAAAGCCAUAAAUGACUUGGGGGUCCUGUUAUUUGAAGGAAUGCCUCUCUGUAUAUCAAUCUGCUCAGGUUCCUAGUUUUGGGAGAUCGGGGGCUUUUCAUUGUUCUACACCAGAGGAAAUUCAUUAGGUGCUGACACAACAUGGGGUCCUCUCAGUGGCAGUGUCCCAAUUAUAGAAUGCCAUUCCUAUGAAAGUGUAACUGGCGUUGACCUCGUUGACAUUUUGGGACCAGGUUCAAGCAUGCCUGUUCGCCUAGGUAUUUAUGGGAUGUUGGCCCACUGCUACAAUAGAUGUGGCAGAAUUUUUUAUUGUGCAUUUGAUUUAGAUCAGGGGUGGGGGAUCUCUUUCAGCCCAAGGAUUGCAUUCCCUCCUGGGCACCCUGCUGGAGCCUACAUACCAGUGCUGGGAAGGAUCAGAGACAUAAAUGGAGAAAAGCAAUAUAUGUCAAUCCUACAGUAGUCUAGCUCCAACACACACUUAUCCUUCCUUCUAUCCUCUGUCUAGGCAGGCAAGCAGCAUUAUCAGCAUUCAAGGACAAAUUGCAGCCUGGCAAAAACAUUUAGGGACGUUGUGAAGGGCCACAACUGGUCUAGGCCUAAGGUUCCCCACCCCUGAUUAUGGCUUUCUCUUACUUAGUUUGGAUUGUUUGGAUUGUUUUAAAUUUUGUUGUAACUCUCUGGGAUCAAUUGAUGAAGUGCUGAUUAAAAAUGUAGUUAAUCAAGAUGUGUGCAUGAAUAGCAACAAAAUGAAGGAUAGAACCCUCUGACAACAACCUUCGUUCAGAAAUCUAUAGGGCAGAGAGGACAACAAUUAUCAAUACAACUUAGUUUCACAACCCCCUAGAUGGAGUACAGCUGUUCAUCUGGCGAUGCUGUUAUUUCUUUACUUCUCAGGUAAUUGAGCCAGCCUUAAACAAGGAAAAGAAACAUAAAUGAUUUUACACUGCACCUAAAAUAUUUUCAACCACUGAUGAAAAGAAAUUUUGCCCCAACCUAGCUUUCUCAUCAUUCAUCACCAGCAAGUUCAUGCUUGCUAUAGCAGGUAAUUGACCUGACCUGGUAACUUGAAUGCAUUUGAGCUCAUUUAGAUGCUCAUAAACCCAUAGGAAAAACUGAUAUUUAGUCAGCCUGAUUGAGACAGGUCUCUGGUUUGAGCGGGCUCCAUGUCAAAGCCAUACAUUUGUUGUUGCCAAAAUUCAAAUAAAACCAAACCUGAGCCCAAUGACAGCUUUUCCCCUUAUGGAAAUAGCAGCUCAGGGGGUAGAGGGACUUUCAUCAAGGUGAGCACAAUGCUGUGAUCCUAAUUCUUUUUUGGUUCUGCCCCAAUUCUUAUCAGCCCCUCCCUGCAGCUUUUGUUUAAAGUUUUAAAAGAAUCAUGCAGCACCAUGCCCUUAUAACAAAACAUGUAGUUUG
rnacentral:lncRNA from 1 species